rnacentral:rRNA from 1 species
CAGCAGCCACGGGAACACGAAGGGGGCUAGCGUUGCUCGGAAUGACUGGGCGUAAAGGGCGCGUAGGCGGAUUGUUUAGUUAGGCGUGAAAUUCCUGGGCUUAACCUGGGGACUGCGCUUAAUACAGGCAGUCUAGAGUGAGGAAGAGGGUUGUGGAAUUCCCAGUGUAGAGGUGAAAUUCGUAGAUAUUGGGAAGAACACCGGUGGCGAAGGCGGCAACCUGGUCCUUGACUGACGCUGAGGCGCGAAAGCGUGGGGAGCAAACAGGAUUAGAUACCCGAGUAGUCCCUGUCUCUUAUAC